CAGUGCUCUGAAUGUCAAA
rnacentral:ncRNA from 3 species